AAAAAAGGUAAGCUACUAAGAGCGAAUGGUGGAUGCCUUGACUGGUAAAGGCGAUGAAGGACGUACUAGACUGCGAUAAGCUACGGGGAGCUGUCAAGAAGCUUUGAUCCGUAGAUUUCCGAAUGGGGCAACCCAAUGUAUAGAGAUAUACAUUACCUAUAUAGGAGCGAACGAGGGGAAUUGAAACAUCUUAGUACCCUCAGGAAAAGAAAUCAAUAGAGAUUGCGCCAGUAGCGGCGAGCGAAAGCGCAAGAGGGCAAACCCAGUGCUUGCACUGGGGGUUGUAGGACUGCAAUGUGCAAGAGGUGAGUUUAGCAGAACAUUCUGGAAAGUAUAGCCAUAGAGGGUGAUAGUCCCGUAUGCGAAAAACAAACCUUAGCUAGCAGUAUCCUGAGUAGGGCGGGACACGAGAAAUCCUGUCUGAAGCUGGGUCGACCACGAUCCAACCCUAAAUACUAAUACCAGAUCGAUAGUGCACAAGUACCGUGAGGGAAAGGUGAAAAGAACUGAGGUGAUCAGAGUGAAAUAGAACCUGAAACCAUUUGCUUACAAUCAUUCAGAGCCCUAUGUAGCAAUACAGGGUGAUGGACUGCCUUUUGCAUAAUGAGCCUGCGAGUUGUGGUGUCUGGCAAGGUUAAGCAAACGCGAAGCCGUAGCGAAAGCGAGUCUGAAUAGGGCGCUUAGUCAGAUGCUGCAGACCCGAAACGAAGUGAUCUAUCCAUGAGCAAGUUGAAGCUAGUGUAAGAACUAGUGGAGGACUGAACCCAUAGGCGUUGAAAAGCCCCGGGAUGACUUGUGGAUAGGGGUGAAAGGCCAAUCAAACUUCGUGAUAGCUGGUUCUCUCCGAAAUAUAUUUAGGUAUAGCGUUGUGUCGUAAUAUAAGGGGGUAGAGCACUGAAUGGGCUAGGGCAUACACCAAUGUACCAAACCCUAUCAAACUCCGAAUACCUUAUAUGUAAUCACAGCAGUCAGGCGGCGAGUGAUAAAAUCCGUCGUCAAGAGGGAAACAACCCAGACUACCAGCUAAGGUCCCUAAAUCUUACUUAAGUGGAAAACGAUGUGAAGUUACUUAAACAACCAGGAGGUUGGCUUAGAAGCAGCCAUCCUUUAAAGAAAGCGUAAUAGCUCACUGGUCUAGUGAUUUUGCGCGGAAAAUAUAACGGGGCUAAAGUAAGUACCGAAGCUGUAGACUUGCGCACAACUUAGAUUAUUUAAGUUUAGAAUAUGAGAAACUAAGUUAUAUGUUUAGUUAUAUUUUUACUGAUUUUUAUAGAGUAAAGAUAGAAAUAAAACUUAGUAAAAUCAGUAAAAAUAUUCUUAGACUAAAGUUAAGUAGUUUAAGUUGUGUGCAAGUGGUAGGAGAGCGUUCUAUUUGCGUCGAAGGUAUACCGGUAAGGAGUGCUGGAGCGAAUAGAAGUGAGCAUGCAGGCAUGAGUAGCGAUAAUUAAUGUGAGAAUCAUUAACGCCGUAAACCCAAGGUUUCCUACGCGAUGCUCGUCAUCGUAGGGUUAGUCGGGUCCUAAGUCGAGUCCGAAAGGGGUAGACGAUGGCAAAUUGGUUAAUAUUCCAAUACCAACAUUAGUGUGCGAUGGAAGGACGCUUAGGGCUAAGGGGGCUAGCGGAUGGAAGUGCUAGUCUAAGGUCGUAGGAGGUUAUACAGGCAAAUCCGUAUAACAAUACUCCGAGAACUGAAAGGCUUUUUGAAGUCUUCGGAUGGAUAGAAGAACCCCUGAUGCCGUCGAGCCAAGAAAAGUUUCUAAGUUUAGCUAAUGUUGCCCGUACCGUAAACCGACACAGGUGGGUGGGAUGAGUAUUCUAAGGCGCGUGGAAGAACUCUCUUUAAGGAACUCUGCAAAAUAGCACCGUAUCU
rnacentral:rRNA from 1 species